rnacentral:rRNA from 1 species
UACGGAGGGAGCUAGCGUUGUUCGGAAUUACUGGGCGUAAAGCGCGCGUAGGCGGCUUUGUAAGUUAGAGGUGAAAGCCUGGAGCUCAACUUCAGAAUUGCCUUUAAGACUGCAUCGCUUGAAUCCGGGAGAGGUGAGUGGAAUUCCGAGUGUAGAGGUGAAAUUCGUAGAUAUCGGGAGGAACACCGGUGGCGAAGGCGGCGACCUGGGUAGGAUACUGACGCUGAGGUGCGAAAGCGUGGGGAGCAAACAGG